rnacentral:rRNA from 1 species
UACGAAGGGGGCUAGCGUUGUUCGGAAUUACUGGGCGUAAAGCGUGCGCAGGCGGCUUCUCAAGUCAGGGGUGAAAGCCCAGAGCUUAACUCUGGAAUUGCCUUUGAGACUGAGAGGCUUGAGUACGGGAGAGGUGAGUGGAAUUCCCAGUGUAGAGGUGAAAUUCGUAGAUAUUGGGAAGAACAUCGGUGGCGAAGGCGGCUCACUGGCCCGUAACUGACGCUCAUGCACGACAGCGUGGGGAUCAAACAGG